CACUAACCAGUAAUUCAUACGAGAAAACUUUUUGUAAAUAGGCAAGAUACUGAACUUACAGGAGAGAAUUGUACACCAGUAUAAAAGACAUUAAAAUUGUACUAGAAGAAUGUACAACAGUAGACAAGACAUUAAACUUUACUAGAAGAAUGUAUAACAGUAGACAAAACAUUGAAUGUGUGCUAUAAUAAUGUACAACAAUAGACAACAGUAGAAAGGAAAUUAAAAUUUUCACUGAAAGAAUGUACAAUAGUAGACAAGACAUUAAAACUUUUACUGGUAAAAUGUGCAACAGUAGAUAAGACAUCAAAUUUUGCACUGAAAGAAAGUACAAUGGUAGACAAGAUAUUAAAACUUGUACUGGUACUACAGUUGACAAGACAUUAAACUUCACUAGAAGAAUGUAUAACA